AGCAGCAGCCGCGGGAAUACGUAGGGUGCAAGCGUUAAUCGGAAUUACUGGGCGUAAAGCGUGCGCAGGCGGUUAUAUAAGACAGAUGUGAAAUCCCCGGGCUCAACCUGGGAACUGCAUUUGUGACUGUAUAGCUAGAGUACGGCAGAGGGGGAUGGAAUUCCGCGUGUAGCAGUGAAAUGCGUAGAUAUGCGGAGGAACACCGAUGGCGAAGGCAAUCCCCUGGGCCUGUACUGACGCUCAUGCACGAAAGCGUGGGGAGCAAACAGGAUUAGAUACCCGUGUAGUCCCUGUCUCUUAUAC
rnacentral:rRNA from 1 species